rnacentral:rRNA from 1 species
GAUGAACGCUGGCGGCGUGCCUAAUACAUGCAAGUCGAACGGGGAGUAGCAAUACUCUUAGUGGCGAACGGGUGAGUAACGCGUUGGUACCUGCCCCGAAGCGGGGGAUAACGGACCGAAAGGUCCGCUAAUACCCCAUGUGCUCGGUAACGAGUAAAGGUGAAAACCACUUUGGGAGGGGCCUGCGUCCCAUCAGCUAGUUGGUAAGGUAACGGCUUACCAAGGCGAUGACGGGUAGGGGACCUGAGAGGGUGGCCCCCCACAAUGGAACUGAAACACGGUCCAUACACCUACGGGUAGCAGCAGUAGGGAAUAUUGGUAAUGGGCGCAAGCCUGAACCAGCAACGCCGCGUGUGCGAUGACGGCCUUCGGGUUGUAAAGCACUUUUGACGGGGACGAGGAAGGACGGUACCGGUCGAAUCAGCCUCGGCUAACUACGUG